GCUGUAGGGUAAUGGGUCAGUGUGUCUGGCUGUUAACCAGAAGGUUGGUGGUUCGAAACCACCCAGGGAUG
rnacentral:tRNA from 1 species